GGGGGUGAUCAUUUGCUUCACCUGUCAGCAACUCCUCUCCAUAUAGGUUAGGCUGGGGGUGAUCAUUUGCUCCCCUUAGCAGCAACUCCUCUCCACAUAGGUUAGGCUGGGAGUGAUCAUUUGCUCCUCCUAGCAGCAACUCCUCUCCAUAUAGGUUAGGCUGGGGGUGAUCAUUUUCUGCACUUGGUGGUAGCUCCUCUCCAUACAAGUUAGGUUGGAGAUGGUGGGAGAUGUUGGCUGGCUGUGAGGGAUGAAGAAGAGGAUGGAUUCUGAUGCUGUCUUUCAAGCACAGCCCUGCUAAAGAAGGGAGCUUGAGGCUGAGCCUAAAGAACUUAACCUGAGAGAACCUGGGCAGAAAGAGCUCUACACAGUCCUUUACCUGUGUGAGAUCUGCAAUCCAGAGAUAGAAGGAGCUGGGGCUGAUUAGUUUGAAGAAGAGGAGGCCAAGGACGGACCUCAUCACUGCCUACAGCUACCUGAAAGGACCAUGUGAAGAAGUUGGUGCUGGUCUCUUCUCAGAGAUACUCUGAUGACAUCUGGGUAACCUUGGCUGUGAUUCUCUGUCGAUGCUCACCAUUUGCAUCCUUAAGACUGAUCUCUGCAGCCAGAAAGAAAGGUGCUGUUCUCCUGUCAGCAGUUGCCUACUCAGUUCUGGAGCCCUCAUUAUAGGAAGGAUAUGGACCUGAUGGAACUGAUUAGAUGCCAGCUGCCUACCACCUUGCUUGCUGUUUCUCCCAGGCCUUGCUUGCCAGGAGGGGAGGUAGACUUCAAAAGUGUGGGCAGCUUGUUACAUCUAUCAGAGAAUCAUCAAAUGGCUUGGGUUGGAGAGGACCUUUAAAGGUCAUCUAAUCAGCAGGGACAUCUGCAGCUAGAGUGGGUUGCUCGGAGCCCAAAACAACCUGACCUGGAAUGGUUCCACAGAUGUUUACAUUCAUUAAAUGUGUUUUCCAGGGGAGCUGUUACACAGGUCUGCUGUGAAGAGGCAAGUUUUUCAUGGCCCUUUCAGGGCUAACUAAGGGACAGUUCCACAUCUCAGAUCCCAUUUACAUGCUACGGGACUCAGCAGGCACCCAAAAGGCUCUCAUCUUGAUGCUGAGGGGCUUGGAGCAUCUCUGUGAGAAGCAAAGGCUGAGAGCCCCUUGGUAUGUGGAGCCUGCAGGAGAGCAGCCCCAGAGGAGAUCUGAGCAAUGCUCAGCAAGAGCUAAAGGAGCUGUAGGGAGCAAGAGGCUGUGGCCAGACUCUUGUCAGUGGUGCCCAGGGACAGGACAAGGGGCAAAGAGCACAAACUGGAGCCCAGGAGGUUCCACCUGAAGAUGAGGAGAAAGUUGUUUGUUGUAAGGAUGCUGGAGGCCAGGAGCAGGCUGCCAGAGAGGUUGUGGGGUCUCUUUGUUAGGAGAGCUUCCAAUCCCAGCUGGGCAUUGUGCUGCUGGGCAAGCU